CCCAGUCUCUCCUCCUCCAGUGGUUCAAAUAGGAGUAUUGUUGUUGCUGAUAAAAUGGUUAUCCUGUUUUGAUCAGAGUUAUCAAACCUUCCUGCUGCUUCUGGUCAUCUCAGUGUACCAGUUACUGGGUAUCAGGAGCUUCAGGACUACACCAUAUGUUCCUCAAACGGAUGAGCUAACAGAGCGCUUUAACCAGACCCUGAAACAGAUGCUCCGGAAGUUGGUAAACAACAAUGGUACAGACUGGGAUCAAUGACUGCCAUACCUCCUUUUUUGCAUACAGGGAAGUACCCAAUCCUCCACUGGUUUCUCUCCGUUUGAACUUCUGUAUAGACAUGAAGUUUGGGGGUCGUUGGCACUGUUGAGAGAGAUCUGGGAGGGUGGGAUCUGUUAACGUUGUAUCCCAUGUCAUCCAGAUGAGAGAGCGGCUGGAGAAAAUGGGUGAGCUGGCCCAAUCGCAUGUGGCGGAUGCUCAGCAGCAACAGAAGUCCUGGUACGACAAGCCAGCCAGGCAGAGAUUCUUCGACCCUGGACUGAAAGUGCUGGUGCUAACAAACUGUUGGUUAAAUGGCAAGGACUGUUAAAAAACCUAAAGAAACUUGGGCCAACCAGGUACUGACACCAAGGCACUCACGCUCCAGUAGGGUACUUCACACAAAUCUCUUAAAAGAGUGGGUGCCGCGACCUGAAAGAAAAACAGAAGUGAUGCUAAUAAGUGUGCUGGAUGAAGAAGUGGAUGAGCAAUACUACCUCUAUAGUGACCUGGUAGACCAUGAUCUCAGUAACCAAUCAGAAGGCCAAUGGCUUCAGGUGAGCUCUAUCUGUAAUUCAGAUGUUUUCCAAGAGAAUCCUGGGAGAACAAACAUUGUUGAACAUGACAUCGUUGUUAGAGAAGGUGCUUCUGUGAGAAGAUUAACUUACAGGAUCCCUGAGCGCCUGCUGGCCUCACUGAGAAGGGAAGUUAACCUGAUGCCUUCCCUGGGGAUCAUCGAGACUUUGAAGAGCUAGUGGUGUAACCCAAUGGUGCUUGUACCAAAGGAUGGAAGCAUAAGGUUCUGCAUUGAUUUCAGGUACCUGAAUUGAAUUUCUCUCUUUGAUUCAGCCAACACCAAUAAUGUAUGAACUGCAUGUUCAAUAGAUCUCUACAAGGGUAAUUGGCAGAUUCCUCUCACCGAUUGGUCACAGGAACUGACAGCCUUCAGGACACCAUGGGGCCCUUUCCAUUAGUAAUACCAUUUGAGUUUCAGCAACUUUCCAGCGACUCAUGGACCAGGUAAUUUGUUAUUUAUCUGGUUUUGCUGCAGCAUAUCUAGAUGACAUUGUCAUUUACAGUAACACGUGGGAGGAACAUCGGCAAGCUGUCUUGGAUCGCCUUCAUUCUGCCUGGCUGACUGUCAUCCUAUCGAAGGACCUAGGCCAUAUCAUCAAUGGGGUUGUACGCCCUCAGGUCAACAAAAUCCAGGCCAUAGAGUCCUGUCCCAUGCCACAAACAAGGAAGCAGCUCCGAUCUUUUUUGGGCUAUCAGGCUUCUAUCACCACCUCAUACUCAAUUUCUCCAACAGGGCAGCUCUUCUCACAGACUUGACUAGAUCCCGGAGUCCCAAUCAGAUCCAGUGGACAGAGACGGCAGUGCAGCUUUCAGUGAUAUCCAGCAAUUACUAAGUAAGCAACCUUGUCUGUAUAGCCCAAACUUUGACGAACAUUUUCUUCUGCAAACUGAUGCUUCUGACAGGGCUUUGGGAGCUGCGUUACUCCAGGGACUUCAGGAUGAUCUGCAUCCAGUCGCCCACAUCAGCCGGAAACUGUUCCUCAGAGAGAUUCGAUAUUUGCCGGUGGAGAAGGAAGCACUGGCUAUCAAGUGGGCCCUUGAUUCCUUCCGGUACUACCUUCUUCUUCAAGAGUUCACCUUGGAGACGGAUCACAAGGCCCGUUUGGCUUUGGUAGAGAAACCAUCCAGUGACAAGAAGACGUACCACUAUCUCCUCACACAGUACUACGAGGGAAAAUACGUACACCCAUUUUUCUGCCCCAUAGAAAAAGUGGAUGUAGGAUCUUUGAAAGAGGUUAGUCGAGACCCUCUUCUGUUAGGGUUAUUUUUUUUUUUUUCAGCUCCAGUCUCAAGUCAAGAUAGACUUCUGCUCGACCAAUGAUUACCACAUCAGUGGUGAUGCUCAGUCUGGGCCAUGAAAACACUUGGGAUGGUGUGACCUGUCUGUAGGUCAGGUUUUGGUAAAAGGUGGCUUUUGGGCUCAUCCAGAAAACCAUCCACUGACAAGAGCAUCCAUCCAUAGAACUGUGAACAGCUAACUGGAUAGUGAGCCCAACCUUCGAGACUGCAAGUGGGAUUAAGAAGACGGUUUCUUCUAAGGAAGAACUUCCUUUACUACUUCAUAGAGCAGAAGCACAGA